GAUGAACGCUGGCGGCGUGCCUAAUACAUGCAAGUCGAGCGAACGGACGAGAAGCUUGCUUCUCUGAUGUUAGCGGCGGACGGGUGAGUAACACAUGGAUAACCUACCUAUAAGACUGGGAUAACUUCGGGAAACCGUAGCUAAUACCGGAUAAUAUUUUGAACCGCAUGGUUCAAAAGUGAAAGACGGUCUUGCUGUCACUUAUAGAUGGAUCCGCGCUGCAUUAGCUAGUUGGUAAGGUAACGGCUUACCAAGGCAACGAUGCAUAGCCGACCUGAGAGGGUGAUCGGCCACACUGGAACUGAGACACGGUCCAGACUCCGACGGGAGGCAGCAGUAGGGAAUCUUCCGCAAUGGGCGAAAGCCUGACGGAGCAACGCCGCGUGAGUGAUGAAGGUCUUCGGAUCGUAAAACUCUGUUAUUAGGGAAGAACAUAUGUGUAAGUAACUGUGCACAUCUUGACGGUACCUAAUCAGAAAGCCACGGCUAACUACGUG
rnacentral:rRNA from 1 species